UACGGAGGGAGCUAGCGUUGUUCGGAAUUACUGGGCGUAAAGCGCACGUAGGCGGCUUUGCAAGUUAGAGGUGAAAGCCCGGGGCUCAACUCCGGAAUUGCCUUUAAAACUGCAUCGCUAGAGUUGUGGAGAGGUAAGUGGAAUUCCGAGUGUAGAGGUGAAAUUCGUAGAUAUUCGGAAGAACACCAGUGGCGAAGGCGACUCACUGGCCCGAUACUGACGCUGAGGCGCGAAAGCGUGGGGAGCAAACAGG
rnacentral:rRNA from 1 species